rnacentral:sRNA from 1 species
UCUAUAGUACGCGAGCGAAAUUGUUGUUC